CCUACUGGUGACAGCAGUGAGGAAUAUUGGUCAAUGGCCGGAAGGCUGAACCAGCCAUGCCGCGUGAAGGUCAGUGCCCUAUGGGCGUUAAACUUCUUUUGUGCGGGAGCAAUAAUGGUCACGUGUGGCCAGACGAGAGUACCGUACGAAUAAGCAUCGGCUAAAUCCGGGCCAGCAGCCGCGGUAAUACGGGGGAUGCAAGCGUUAUCCUGAUUUAUAGGGUUUAAAGGGUGUGUAGGCUGUGAGGUAAAUCAGCGGUGAAAUGCCCCCGCGCAACGGGGUGAAGUGCCAUUGAUACUGCCUGGCUGGAAUGCGAAUGCCGUGGGAGGAAUGUGUGGUGUAGCGGUGAAAUGCAUAGAUAUCACACAGAACACCGAUUGCGAAGGCAGCUCACGAAUCCGCGAUUGACGCUGAUGCACGAAAGCGUGGGUAUCAAACAGGAUUAGAUACCCUUGUAGUC
rnacentral:rRNA from 1 species